UCCAUGGUGGUACAGCAGGUUAAGGAUCUGGCAUUGUCACUGCUGUGGCUCAGGUUCGAUCCCUGGCCUGGGAA
rfam:Sus scrofa isolate TJ Tabasco breed Duroc chromosome 1, whole genome shotgun sequence.